AUGACUCAGAGGCGGACAAUUUCUCAAGAGGGAGUUCUCAUUUUUUUCAAAUUCCACUUUCUCUCUCAUAAUUCUCUCUUCUCUCAAGACCAAAACCCCCAACCACCACGAUCAACCUCCUUCCUCCCUGCUCAAGCUCUGGCCAGCCUACCGCCGCCGCACCCUCCGUCGAUAACCGCCACCAGCUCCCUCCGUUUCUCUUCUCUCCUCCACACGCCAUACUCCCUCCAUCUUCGCGCACCAUUCACGCGUUCUUCCUCUCCUGCACGCCCCGUUCGUGUGCCUCUCCCUCCCUUGCAUGCUAUGAAGAUUAUCCUCUCUCCGGUCAGCCUGAUCAUAUUCCUUUCCUCUUUAUAUUCUUCAAGAGCUUCAAGAGCUUACGGCGCCUUCUGA